GAUGAACGCUGGCGGCGCGCCUAACACAUGCAAGUCGAACGAUUAAAGCACCUUCGGGUGUGUAUAAAGUGGCGAACGGCUGAGUAACACGUGGGCAACCUGCCCCUUUCAUUGGGAUAGCCACGGGAAACCGUGGAUAAUACCGAAUACUUCGAGACUUCCGCAUGGAAGACUCGAGAAAGCUCCGGCGGAGGGGGAUGGGCCCGCGGCCUGUUAGCUUGUUGGUGGGGUAACGGCCUACCAAGGCAAUGAUGGGUAGCUGGGUUGAGAGACCGACCAGCCAGAUUGGGACUGAGACACGGCCCAGACUCCUACGGGAGGCAGAAGUGGGGAAUCUUGCACAAUGGGCGAAAGCCUGAUGCAGCGACGCCGCGUGCGGGAUGAAGGCCUUCGGGUUGUAAACCGCUUUCAGCAGGGACGAGGCGAAAGUGACGGUACCUGCAGAAGAAGCCCCGGCUAACUACGUG
rnacentral:rRNA from 1 species